UACGUAGGCAGCAAGCGUUGUUCGGAGUUACUGGGCGUAAAGAGUGCGUAGGCGGUUCCGUAAGUUUGGUGUGAAAUCUCCCGGCUCAACUGGGAGGGUGCGCCGAAGACUGCGGUGCUUGAGUGUGGGAAAGGUAGGCGGAAUUCCUGGUGUGGCGGUGAAAUGCGUAGAUAUCAGGAGGAACACCGGUGGUGUAGACGGCUUACUAGACCAUGACUGACGCUGAGGCACGAAAGCGUGGGUAGCAAACAGG
rnacentral:rRNA from 1 species